UACGUAGGUGGCAAGCGUCGUCCGGAUUUACUGGGCGUAAAGGGAGCGUAGGUGGACUUUUAAGUGAGAUGUGAAAUACUCGGGCUCAACCCGAGAACUGCAUUUCAAACUGGAAGUCUAGAGUGCAGGAGAGGAAAGUGGAAUUCCUAGUGUAGCGGUGAAAUGCGUAGAUAUUAGGAAGAACACCAGUGGCGAAGGCGACUUUCUGGACUGUAACUGACACUGAGGCUCGAAAGCGUGGGGAGCAAACAGG
rnacentral:rRNA from 1 species